rnacentral:rRNA from 1 species
AGAGUUUGAUCCUGGCUCAGAUUGAACGCUGGCGGCAGGCCUAACACAUGCAAGUCGAACGGUAACAGGAAGCAGCUUGCUGCUUCGCUGACGAGUGGCGGACGGGUGAGUAAUGUCUGGGAAACUGCCUGAUGGAGGGGGAUAACUACUGGAAACGGUAGCUAAUACCGCAUAACGUCGCAAGACCAAAGAGGGGGACCUUAGGGCCUCUUGCCAUCGGAUGUGCCCAGAUGGGAUUAGCUAGUAGGUGGGGUAACGGCUCACCUAGGCGACGAUCCCUAGCUGGUCUGAGAGGAUGACCAGCCACACUGGAACUGAGACACGGUCCAGACUCCUACGGGAGGCAGCAGUGGGGAAUAUUGCACAAUGGGCGCAAGCCUGAUGCAGCCAUGCCGCGUGUAUGAAGGAGGCCUUCGGGUUGUAAAGUACUUUCAGCGGGGAGGAAGGGAGUAAAGUUAAU